CUUCACUAAGCUAUCACUAACUGGAGAAGACAUACUGUUGAAAAAUUACACAUACUCAUUGAAUCUGGAGGUUAAAGCAACAACAGAUUACUUGUUUGAGGUAACAAGAAUGAAAGAAUCGUGGGAAGUAGACCUAGAAAAAAGAACAUGCACGUGCAACAGGUUCCAAAUAGAUGAAAUGCCAUGCGGGCACGCAGUGGCCGUGAUGAGGGAGAUGAACAUGGACCCGUACACCUACUGUUCAGAUUACUACACAAAAAAAAAUUGGCUGGCAACUUAUUCAGGGACAGUUUACCCAAUAGGACACCAAAGUGAGUGGGAGGUACCGGAAGAAGUGAAGAAUAUUAUAGUCUUGCCUCCACAUGAAAGAGUAAAAUCAGGAAGACCAAAAACAUUAAGAAGGAAGGCUGGAUGGGAAAAGGAUCAACACAACAAGUGCAGCAAAUGUGGUGAACUGGGGCAUAACAAAAGAACAUGCAGCAGAAGACGUAGAAGGGAAUAAAAACAACAACAGAACAACAGUGGAAAAACAAAAGAAAACUACACAUACGUUUUGAGAAUGAGAUAUUGAGGAAUUUAAAUUUCUGAAAUACAAAGGGAAUACAGUUUUUAUUUGAAAAACAUUGAUUACAUUGGGAAUUGUUGAUACUUUAGAUUGGAUAUUAAAAGAUGUUGGAUACUAAAUUGAAUAUAUAUAUGAAGUUUGUUAUUGAAACAGUUUGUGUUUUUAAUACUGAAAUGAAUAUUUGUAUUCAAAAAAACAGAGAAACUAUAAGAAAAAAAAACAAAAAAAGAA